GCUAACUACACCUGGUACAAGGAGAAUGAAGACUCACCAAAAGCUUCAGGACAGAUCUUCACCAUCACUGACUUCAGACCUGAACACAGAGGGAGUUAUUACUGUGAAGCCCAGAACAGAAGAGGACGUCAUAACUCCACCUUACACCUGGUUGGUUUAGUAGGAAAAUUACCAGUAAUACUGAAUGUCAUCAGAUUAACUUUGGUGGUGCUGGUGCUGAUUCCUCUGCUUCUUUUGAUUAUGUGUAUGAGGUAAGUCUGUUUCUUUUUUUUAUUUUACAAUUCAGUCAUUUACUUUUAAAUUUGUAUUUAUUCGUCUUAUUUCUUGGAUUCCAUCCAGGAAGAAUAAACUCUUCAGCUGUGGGAUUGAACCAAAUGAACCUGUGGAGGCUAUAGAGAUGCAACAAAACCUCAGACACGACUCUUCUAUUUCAAAGUAGAAGUUAUUCUAAGAUGUGCACAUAGGUGUGGUGGUUAACACUGAUGCCUCCAAGUGAGAAGGUCUGAGUCCAGGUUUCAGUCCAGGUUCGGCUCUUUCUGUGUGGAGUUCACUGUUCUCCCUGUGUCUGCGUGGGUUUUUUCCAGAUUUUUUCCAGCUUCCUCCCACUGUCCAAAGACAUGUUCGUUAGGCUAAUUGGUGAUUCUACUUUGACUGUAGGUGUGAGUGUGAAUGUUUGUUUGUCUCUCUGUGUUAGUCCUGAGAUAGACCUCUGCUACCCUGAGGAUGAGAUACUAGAUACUAGAUACUAGACAAUGAGAUGAUGAGUUAUUCCAACUCUGACAUGUCGCAAUUUACAUGACAUGAUGAUGUGUUCUGGUAGCAUUUGUUGUGCAGUUUGAUUUUCUUUAUAUUUCUGUUUCAUCUUGAAAUAGUUUUUCUCUUUAUAUUUCAGUUAGUUUUACACUGUUUCUCUCUUAGUUUUCUAGUGUAACUCUAGUUCGUUCAGCGCAACCCACAAAUACUCACCUGGGAAUUUGGAGGCCUGUCAUCACAGCAAACUCAAACCAGUUGUCUAGCCAUCACAAUUUGUCCCUCAUUAAUCUCGCCGAAAUCCUCAUAUUUGCCCAUUUGAUGGUCAGGGUUUUUUACUUCACCUAUAAGGGGUCAUGAUGUUAUGCCUGGUCUGUGUAUAUUAUAUAUUUAGGUUCUGAGUAAUUCAGAUCGAGAGAAAGAUGAAUUCUUUAAAAUAAACAUGUUGAACAGAAAGCUCAAACUGUAGUGUUGACAUCGUUGCAGUUCCCUCUCACUGCAGCAGAGGGCGACAAUAUGUAAGAAGUUGUGGAUUUCAGCUGUAAAUAAACAGUUUUACGAUAAUAAAGAUUUUAAACAUUCCUU